GUUGAGCUUUCCUUCAUAUUACAUUCUGACUUCUAACACCAUGAAAUAUAUUGCACGCUCCAGGGUCAUCCUGCUCCCUCUUCCAAGCGCACUCUCAAAUCCUGGGGGACUGGGAAAGAGAAAAAGCAGAGAAAGCUGACUGCACAGCGCUUCCUGGCCUUGCAGGACGAGACCAAACAAAACUCCAUUGAGAUCUGUUUCUGGGGGGGACCAAGUGAGCUGCGCUGCAAUGGUUGGCAUUGGAGACACUAUCAGGGUGACCAAUGUGUACUCCAGUGAGUAUGAAGACAGUAUUUCUCUCAACUCAACAAAAGAAACCAGGGUUGAUAUGAUCCAGGCUGCUAAAUCGAAGACUGUAAUGUUGUCCAUUCAACCAAUUGCGUGCAAUGACGAGGUGACCCUGGAGGCAGAGAGGAUGG